ACACAUGGAGGGGCUAGGAGGGAUAAGACACAUGGAGGGGCUGGAGGGAAUGGAAACACAUGGAGGCUGGGGGAAAGGAGAUUACAUGGAGGCUGGGGGGAAAGGAGACACAUGGAGCGGCUGUGGGGAAUGAGACACAUGGAGGGGCAGGGGGGAAUGAGACACAUGGAGAGGCUGGGGGGGGAAUGAGACACAUGGAGCGGCUGGGGGGGGAAUGAGACACAUGGAGCGGCUGUGGGGAAAUGAGACACAUGGAGUGGCUGUAGAAUGAGACACAUGGAGGGGCUGUAGAAUGAGACACAUUGGGGGACCCGGUGGUUUCUAGUUAUGCUUCUGUCUAUACAUAUUCAUAUAGCACCUUAAAACCUGUCUAUACAUUGUGUUCAUGCUUUUUAAAUCUGUUCAGAUUUUUUUUAAAUUAAUAAAACAUUUCUAUAUAAUCUUUUCAUUUUCUUAGGAAUGCACAGUUUUCUGAAAGAGUUUCAAAUAAACAUUUUAUUAUUCCUAGUGGUGUGUUGGAGUUACUGAGAAAUGUGCAGAUUCUGAUUCGAUGCUGAUAUCACAUGCUCUGCGUAGAGUUCUUAUUUUGUUUUUG